GCAAACUUGGUCAUUUAGAGGAAGUAAAAGUCGUAACAAGGUUUCCGUAGGUAAGUAGAAAGGCCAUUUAUAUUUCCAUACUUUGAAAUAACGUGCUAACUUUUCGGUCAAAGGUGAACCUGCGGAAGGAUCAUUACCGAGUGUCACCCCCAUUUUUAAAUGAGUGGGUACCUCCUGUCCUUUGCUGGCCUUUAGGGGCUUUUCGACUUCUGCUUCGGCGGGGUUACCCGCCGGAACACCCUCAAAAAUUCUUGAUGAAAAAUCGUUCAGUCCGAGUUUAAAAAAAAAAUCGUUUGAAAACUUUCAACAACGGAUCUCUUGGUUCUGGCAUCGAUGAAGAACGCAGC
rnacentral:misc_RNA from 1 species